rnacentral:rRNA from 1 species
AGUGAACGCUGGCGGUAGGCCUAACACAUGCAAGUCGAACGGCAGCACAGUAAGAGCUUGCUCUUACGGGUGGCGAGUGGCGGACGGGUGAGGAAUACAUCGGAAUCUACUUUUUCGUGGGGGAUAACGUAGGGAAACUUACGCUAAUACCGCAUACGACCUACGGGUGAAAGCAGGGGAUCUUCGGACCUUGCGCGAUUGAAUGAGCCGAUGCCGGAUUAGCUAGUUGGCGGGGUAAAGGCCCACCAAGGCGACGAUCCGUAGCUGGUCUGAGAGGAUGAUCAGCCACACUGGAACUGAGACACGGUCCAGACUCCUACGGGAGGCAGCAGUGGGGAAUAUUGGACAAUGGGCGCAAGCCUGAUCCAGCCAUACCGCGUGGGUGAAGAAGGUCUUCGGGUUGUAAAGCCCUUUUGUUGGGAAAGAAAAGCAGCAGGUUAAUACCCCGCUGUUCUGACGGUACCCAAAGAAUAAGCACCGGCUAACUUCGUG